rnacentral:rRNA from 1 species
UACGUAGGGUGCAAGCGUUGUCCGGAAUUAUUGGGCGUAAAGAGCGCGUAGGCGGUCCGGUAAGUCGGUUGUGAAAGUCGGGGGCUCAACCCUCGGAUGCCGAUCGAUACUGUCGGGCUAGAGUCCGGAAGAGGCGAGUGGAAUUCCUGGUGUAGCGGUGAAAUGCGCAGAUAUCAGGAAGAACACCGAUGGCGAAAGCAGCUCUCUGGGACGGUACUGACGCUGAGGCGCGAAAGCGUGGGGAGCGAAACAGG